rnacentral:rRNA from 1 species
UACAGAGGUCUCAAGCGUUGUCCGGAUUUAUUGGGCGUAAAGAGCGUGUAGGCGGUUUGGUAGGUCCGCUGUGAAAACUCGAGGCUCAACCUCGAGACGCCGGUGGAAACCAUCAGGCUAGAGUCCGGAAGAGGAGAGUGGAAUUCCUGGUGUAGCGGUGAAAUGCGCAGAUAUCAGGAAGAACACCCGUGGCUAAGGCGGCUCUCUAGUACGGUACUGACGCUGAGACGCGAAAGCGUGGGGAGCGAACAGG